rnacentral:rRNA from 1 species
CGCCGCCCCCGCCCGCCUACGGGACGCAGCAGUUGGGAAUAUUGGGCAAUGGUGGAAACGCUGACCCAGCCAUGCCGCGUGCAGGAAGAAGGCGCUCAGCGUUGUAAACUGCUUUUGCCGGGGAAGAAUGGGGGUUACGCGUAACCUCAUCGACGGUACCCGGUGAAUGAGCACCGGCUAACUCCGUGCCAGCAGCCGCGGUAAUACGGAGGGUGCAAGCGUUGUCCGGAUUUAUUGGGUUUAAAGGGUGCGUAGGUGGCUUGUUAAGUCCGGGGUGAAAGGCAGUGGCUCAACCACUUGCAGGGCCCCGGAUACUGACAGGCUCGAGUGUAGGUGAGGCCGGUGGAACGGGUGGUGUAGCGGUGAAAUGCAUAGAUACCAUCCAGAACACCGAUUGCGGAGGCAGCCGGCUAACCUACUACUGACACUGAGGCACGAAAGCGUGGGGAGCAAACAGGAUUAGAUACUCUGGUAGUCCACGCUGUAAACGAUGCGAACUCGCUGUUGGUGAAUUUUCAUCAGCGGCUUAGCGAAAGCGUUAAGUUCGCCACCUGGGGAGUACGCCGGCAACGGUGAAACUCAAAGGAAUUGACGGAAUCG